rnacentral:lncRNA from 1 species
AUGAAUGAAAAAGUCCAGACUAUUGAGAAUGCUUCCUGUUUUAAAAAGGUUUUAACCCUUUUUUCUGCUGAUCUGCUUCCAGAUAUGGAGGAAAAGCUGCAACCAGAUGAACAGAUUGACUCUGACCUACAGGAAACAGACCAAAUAUCUGAUCCUGCUCCAUCCACACUGAUGAUAAACUCAUCCGCCAUGGACAGUGACCCGGCGCCAUCGGGUGUCGAGCCUGACAAACUGUUCUUGGGACAUCUCCUGCCUCAGGGGAGAGCUGGUAAGCCCAUGGUAUCUGUGACAUUGCAGCAGGUGCACCCCUGCAACGCUCUUCUGGAUACUGGCUCAGACUACACACUCGUGUGCAAGUCUGUCUUCAACCGCAUCUGCCUGGGUGCAGGUGGAGGCGUACGACCUCCAGAACUGAGUCCUUUUGCAGUAACUGUCCGUGAUUUUCAGAUCCUAGAGUUUCACCGUCUAUUUUCUAUCAGAAGCUAAUUCAUGAAUGGGUGUAGACCAUUUUCAUGUUCAGCCUGCAUGAAAACCUCUGAGUGACUGAUUUUUGUGUGGUGCUCUGGUUAAUUUCAACACAAAGAAAGUGACUCACAAGUGUCAUGUCCCUGUGAAUACAGAGGUCAUUAAGGUGCCUGUUUGAAAAACUCAAGCCCAGAAUGCGAUUUUAGAGUUUCAUCAGCUUUUUCCUCACCUUCAUGACAAAAAUGUUCUGAGAAGUUUAUUUUCCCAGCUUCACUGUCAACAAAUAGCAAAAAUACCUUUGCUCUAAUUCGUUCAACAACCAACGUUGUGCCUCUCACCUGCUUGUCAAGCUCUGUAACUGCUAUAACAGCUACAACAGCACAGCCUUUCCUACUGCACUGUGUGACUUUUAUUGGUAUAGGCUCACCUUUCAAUACAUGUUUAAAAAUGUCUCACAACCCAGUUAAAAUUGUGCCUUGACACAUGAUUAUCAAGAUUUUGGCCAAAACAGCAACAAUUUCUUUAAAUGAUCUUAUUUUACAACUUGACAUGAAAGGCCGCAGUGCUGGAAUACGCGAACGUUUCUACGUUACUACAACGUUACUACAGCGUAAAGGUGUACUAGAAAGGUUUUCUUUUUCGUUUGAAAACUGUCCUUUGAGGCUCUAUAUUUAACAUGAAACUGUGUUGGGGCUUAUAAAUAAUUAGACAAACACAACCCCAUAAUAAGCCCUAUAAUGGAAAGACUGCAUCCAUGAAAGAGGAACAAAGUAGUGAGUGUCAGGCGGGUUGUGGAGUGGGGGAUUUACGGAUGAGCAUAAAAGAGGACCUGAAGCUGUGGAUCUAUCUGGUGUUCAUUCAAAGUUCCUAGUAGGGAUGUACGUAGUUAACCGGUUAAUUACCAUUAAUGUUGUAACUGGUUAAACUUGUUUUUCCCGGUUAACUGCCUCAAGUCCUUCUGCUGUGCUGCGUGCAAUAUAUUUUGUGCCACUGGAGGGCGCAAGAGCAUCACUAUCAAAUGUUUACUGGGCGACCGCAGAAGAACAAAUGAGCUUGUCACAUGACCAAAAAAAUGUCCUCAAACACGAAGCGGUUAACAAAGUUCGUUAACCGGCUAAUAACCAUUAAGGGGCGUCAAUAGCCGGUUAAUGAAAUUUUGGAAAACGUGCAUCCCUAAUUCCUAGUAAAUCUUGGAAUUUCAGUGCUGCUCCGACAUUCUUCUUUGUUGUUUUCCUCCUGUCUAUCAAGGCUGUUAGCAGUAGCUCAGGCUAAUGUUGUUCUGCAGUUAGCAUUACUGUGACUAACAUUUAAAUAUAGCCAAUAUUAUAUAGCUUUAGUUUAUGACAUGUUAAACCAACUUUUCUCAGAAUGAACCGUUUCUCAGCGGCCAUCACCACAUGACUCAUUUACAUAGGAAAGCAGGUCAGAGAAGGCAGGAGCUCUUGGUAUGCUACAUUAGACACCACAAGCUGACUAUAUGAAUAAUGAUAAAUUACCUGCACUUGUAUAGCACCUGUCAGAGUCAGAGGACUCUAAAGCACUUUACACUACAGCGUAUCAUUCAUCCAUUCACAAACACAUUCACACACUGGUGGUGAUGAGCUACAAUGUAGCCAAAGUUGCCCUCGGGUGCACUGACAGAGAUAUUCAACCACUAGCUUUAAGGUAUAGCGGAGGAUCUUUUCCUUCCGGGUGGAUCAUCUGAAACACUGGUCCGCAUAACUGUCAACAAGGGCGUCAGUUUGUUGUCAGAAUUGCUGGGGACAAUAACCAUACACUUGAGUGGGGCUUAAAAAUUGCUGGGGACAAUAAAGUAGGCUAGCACAGGGGUCGGCAACCCACGGCUCUGGAGCCGCAUGCGGCUCCUCCAUCCAUCAUGCGGCUCUCUGUGCUUGUAAAAUAAUGAAUGGAUAUUUAAAUAAAAUGCUUUAUAUUUUACUGCAUUAAUUUUACAUCUGUAUGCCAAUUCUAAAUGUAAAGAUUGUCUGCGUAAACCUGAACAGGUCCAACCCGGUCUUACUGUGAGACCGGGUAGACGCGUCACGCUUGUGCGUAAUCAUAUGCGCUUCUGAGCUGCUUUCUGACCUUCCCCACCUACAAAGUUUAAUUACAACAAUCAAACGUGACAGAGCCUGGAUUUGUAUUCUGAACAGCCUAAACAUGUUUUAAAAAGAAACGUAUGACAAAAGUGGCACCUGCUCAGUAAAACCACCAACAGGGUGAAAAAUAUCAAAAUAUUGUCGGCAGAGACGGGCUACAGCUUCUGGAUCCACUUUAUAUAAAUCGUUUUAUUGAUUAUCUUCUUACGAAAGAUAACUUUGACGUACACGAGCGAUCAGGCGCGUUGCAACCUUUUCAAAAGUGUGGGUGAUAUUGUCUGUGCCUAAAAUAAGUUCAUGCUAUUCAUCUUGUUAGUUUAAUUUCCAUAAUAGCGGAGCAGGUGCGAAUUUUAGACGCGUCACGCAUGUCUCCGUUUUAAACAUGUUUAAACUGUUCAGAAUACAAAUCCAGGCUCUGUCACGUUUGAUUGUUGUAAUUAAACUUUGUAGGUGGGGAAGGUCAGAAA